rnacentral:rRNA from 1 species
UGGGGAAUAUUGCACAAUGGGCGCAAGCCUGAUGCAGCCAUGCCGCGUGUAUGAAGAAGGCCUUCGGGUUGUAAAGUACUUUCAGCGGGGAGGAAGGGAGUAAAGUUAAUACCUUUGCUCAUUGACGUUACCCGCAGAAGAAGCACCGGCUAACUCCGUGCCAGCAGCCGCGGUAAUACGGAGGGUGCAAGCGUUAAUCGGAAUUACUGGGCGUAAAGCGCACGCAGGCGGUCUGUCAAGUCGGAUGUGAAAUCCCCGGGCUCAACCUGGGAACUGCAUUCGAAACUGGCAGGCUAGAGUCUUGUAGAGGGAGGUAGAAUUCCAGGUGUAGCGGUGAAAUGCGUAGAGAUCUGGAGGAAUACCGGUGGCGAAGGCGGCCCCCUGGACAAAGACUGACGCUCAGGUGCGAAAGCGUGGGGAGCAAACAGG